CACACGACUCUCGGCAACGGAUAUCUCGGCUCUCGCAUCGAUGAAGAACGUAGCAAAAUGCGAUACCUGGUGUGAAUUGCAGAAUCCCGCGAACCAUCGAGUUUUUGAACGCAAGUUGCGYCCGAGGCCUUCCGGCCGAGGGCACGCCUGCCUGGGCGUCACGC
rnacentral:rRNA from 1 species